UACGGGGGGGGCAAGCGUUGUUCGGAAUUACUGGGCGUAAAGCGCACGUAGGCGGUUCGUUAUGUCGGAUGUGAAAGCCCUUGGCUUAACCGAGGAAGUGCAUCCGAAACUGGCGAGCUAGAGUACGAAAGAGGAUCGCGGAAUUCCCGGUGUAGAGGUGAAAUUCGUAGAUAUCGGGAAGGAACACCGGUGGCGAAGGCGGCGAUCUGGGUCGAUACUGACGCUGAGGUGCGAAAGCGUGGGGAGCAAACAGGAGUUAGA
rnacentral:rRNA from 1 species